AGUAUGCAUUUAGUUUACCAUCAAACAUUAAGGCACACUCUAAUAGAGAGGGUGAAGAAAUAAUAUGAAUUAAUAAAUGUUUACCUGAAUGUAAAAUGUUCUUGAGGUAGUAACCAGUUCAAAAAGAUUGUCCCUCAUCAUCAAGUCACUAAAAACACAAAUCAGUAUUAGAAACAACAGAAUUAUGGGUAAUCCUAAGCUGUUGAAACAGCACAGCAGCACAGAUGCAUAAUAGGAAUGCUGUUAUUGUAUAUUAAUGUUUGUGUGCUCACUAUUAGUCUGCCCAAGUCCCAAAUAGCACAACUUUUAAACAUUGUGAACUGUCAUAUGUUAAUAUUAAGAUAAACUUGGUGGCCUGGGAGUAAAUAAAAAUAUAACAAAUUAAAUGUUUGCCUGACCUAUCCUGACAGAGCACAUACAUCACAUGACGUCUGUUCAGAGUGUUUGGUUUUGUCAGGAAGAUCCCAUUUGUAAAAGGUUAGAUAAUGUUUCCUUAGAACUUCACUUGGCAGACGAUUUCUUAUUUCUGAUUUUCCAGACGUAAUAACAAUCUGUGCCUGGUGAGUUGUCCAACACAAUUACAGUUUAAAUGCAUGCAUUUCAAGUUACAACAAAAUGGAAGUAGCAACAGAUCUUUUCUUCCUUAUCUGAUUUUAACAGAUUAUGGAUUUUUUUGUUUUGUUUAUAAAAUACAUCAUUUUUCAUUUAAUGAUGGUGUGCUGUAUGCAGUGAUUUUAAUGUUAAAAUACUUUCCCACUUUAUAUCACACUUUAAAGUGCAACUAUAAGUAAACCAUUGAGACAGUAAUUUCGUAGGUUUUCUUUUAAACAGUUUAUCUCUUGCUCAACCAUAGGUGUACGUAUGAGACAUGACUUCCUUUUUGAGAAACUUUGAAUGACAAGGGGUGUGGCAGAAGCGUAUUUGGAAACCAAAACAAGACAAGACAAAAAAAUACAAAUAAAACAAUAAAUAAAUAAAAUAAGACAAAGCAAAACAAUACAAAUCAAGCAAAAAAAAAACAAAAAGUAAAAAAAAAAACGAACCACUACUGACCUUUGUUUACACUCCUGCACCUUGUUCACUUCUUUCAGAGGAAUAAUUCGUAACGGCUCUCGCUCCUAAAGACAGAGUUUCAUUAAAUAAUAUAUUAAAUAUUGUCUUUAUUUGAUGUGAAUGAUUGAACAAGCACGGAGCAAACAUUCCAUGUGCAGUGAGGAAGUGCAGGCCUGAGCAGGGUGCUGCACUGAGCACAAGCCUGUGAUUAUCAGCCCUGAAAUAGCCUUUAUUGACAUCUACUGUAUUAUUUAGCCUUUGACCAAGCCUUCUUCGUAUGCCUGCCCUCCUCACACACACACACAGAGAACAGGAAGCAACUGAUUCUCGGUGUGUGUGUGUGUGCAUGUUUUUGUGACAUAUCAGGACACAACUUUGUAUAAUGACAUGGGUAUGACACAGGUAUUACAAGGAGAGGGUGACUUAUGAGGAUACAAAGUUUCCUGUGAGGGUUAGGGUAAGGUGUAGGGCCAUAGAAUAUACAGUUUGUACAGUAUAAAAACCAUUAUGCCUAUGGAAUGUCCCCACUUUUCACAAAAAUAAAUGUGUGUGUGUGUGUGCGUGUGUGUGCAUGUUUCCCAGUACCAGCCCCAGUACCAGAGCCUAGGCAAAUGGAUUCCACUCAGGUCUCUCAUGAGGAACGCUCUGGCCGACUUGCGGCAGGACUCUGCCUCUAUUGUGCUGCUACUGAUCACUACAUUGGGGCCUGUCCUUUUAAACCCCCAUGUCCUGCAUCUUAGCUUUGGUCGACUCGGGCUCCUCGGGCAACUUCAUCUUGCAAGGCCUUCUAAGUCGUUUUCAGCUGCCUUGUCGCCAUCAUGCCCAGGAGCUCCAAACCGACGACUAUCCUAAAAAUGCCACUAGGAUGUGGGCAUGUGAGAUAUAAGGCCCCUUACUUGAAACUCAAUAUUGGUAACUUCCAUGAGGAGGAAAUCACCUUUCUGGUACUGGAGGGACCCACGGUGGACAUCAACCUGGGAUGCCCCUGGCUUAUCCUCCAUUCUUCAGAGAUCAGAUGGGACUCCUGUGAGGUUAAUUGCUAGAGCGAAUUCUGUCACUAACACUGCCUCACUAAACUUCUAUGUCCACUCCACAAGCCCCCAGCUUCCCAGGUCGCUUCCGUGCAUAUUAAAAUUCCUGAGCCAAGUAUAACUCCCUCAAUCCCAUCUGAUUAUGUGGCAUUCCAGGAUGUCUUUAGUAAGCAGGCAGCCUGAGUUUACCAGCUGUCCAUCCUGGAGCGCAAAGCUAUAGAGGUGUACAUGAAGGAGGCUCUUAACCAGUGAAUCAUCCAGCCGUCCAGCUAACCAGCAGCCUCAAGUUUCUUCUUCAUGGGUAAGAUGGAAGGGGGCUUGUGGCCCUGUAUUGAUUAUGGAGCUCUGAAUUCCCAGAUGUUCAAACUCCCUUAACCACUUCCCCUGGUCCCUGUGGCUAUUGAGGAACUCUGUGGGGCACGUAUCUUCUCUAAGCUGGACCUGCGAAGCGCAUAUAACCUUGUUUGCAUCCGGGAAGGCAAUGAAUGAAAGACGGCCUUCAUUACCCCUUUGGGACAUUACGAGUACCUCAUUAUGCCGUAUGGCCCUGCCAAUGCCACAUCAAUCUUCCAGGGGUUUAUGAACAAGGCGUUCUGAGAGUUGCUCCACAAGUUCGUGAUCAUUUCCAUCAAUGACAUACUCAUUUACUCCUGGAACCUGACUGACCAUUGCCACCACAUUAAGCAGGUCCUUCAGAGGGUACGUCAGCACCACCUGUACCUCAAGCUGGAGAAGUGCGAGUUCCACUGCUCCAUGGUGCAGUUCUUAGGCUACAUCAUCGGCCAGGACGAAAUUCAGAUUGACCAGGGGAAGGUGAAGUAGUGGCACAUUCCCCAGUCUGUAAAUGGGGUUCAGAGGUACCUUGGAUUUGCUAAUUUCUAUAGGCAUUCAUCAAAGGUCUCAGUCUGCAUAGAGCCCCAUUGACCACUCUGCUCCGAGGAAAGCCCAAGUCCCUGUCCUGGAACUCCAGCACCCACAAAGCCUUUCAGAAUCUCAAGAACGCAUUUAGCAUGGCUCCCAUUCUUCAUCAUCCUGAUCCCCAUGUACUGUUUGUGGUGGAAGUGGAUGCCUCCACCACAGGAGUUGGAGCUGUGCUUUCUCAGCAAAUUAGUGAGUCUCCACGCCUCCACCAUUGCUCAUACUGUUUACUAUUCCAAGAAACUGACCCCAGCGGAGUAGAACUACGAUAUCUGUAACAGGGAGCCGCUGGCCAUAAAAUUGGCCCUAGAAGAGUGGCAGCAUUUGCUAGAGGGAGCCAACCAUCAUUUCACUGUCAUCAGUGACCAUACAAACUCCAAUUUCUCUGUGAUGCCAAGAGACUCAAUCCCUGGCAGACCUGCUGGGCUCUAUUUUUCACCCAGCUUAAUUUCAUCAUUAACUACCACCCAGGAAACAGAAAUUGUAAAGCUGAUGCCCAAGCUCGUACUCCUACCCAUUCCUUGUCAGCCCUGAUCACACAUGGAAGUUGAUUUUGUAACCAACCUACCUGAAUCCAAUGGUAACAAAGGCAUCCUACUGGCAAUGGGUAAUUUCUCAAAAGCCUGCAAGUUAAUUGUGGCGAGUGGGGCGGGGCCGAGAGGCGUGGGAACGAGGAGUGAGGCCAGGUGUAGUGAUUGGAGAUGAGCUACACCUGAGCCCCACCGUCGGUAUCGAGUCCCACGUAGGAGAUGGAAGGAUAUAAAACUGGAGUGACGACCAUGAAGGACGAGAGAGGACCAGGCCUGGGACGUUAUUUUAUGUUUUGGUUUUUAUUUGCGCACACCAGUCGUCCGUGAGGGGCUGGUGCGCCGUUUUGUAUUUAUUUUGUGAUUAUUAAAAUGUAUUUUGAUUGUGCGCCGGUUCCCGCCUCCUUCUUCCCGAUGAGUAAGAAGUUCAUAUUGUUACAUUAAUUCACCUACCUGGGUUACCAACAGCCCUCGAAACCACAGAACAACUGUUCACCCAUGUCUUCAGGAACUUUGAAAACUUUGGACCAGUGUACCAUGACCCAGUGAAUUGUCUCUCAAUAUUCCAGAUUAUCACCUGCCAUUUGCUCCUGACAAUCCAAAUUCAAGUCUUUCAAUAAAUCACCUUGUUACUCCUCUGA